CAGUUCAUAUACAGAGAGGCGAAAAAGCCGCCGGUGUCAUUCUCAUUGAUUUGCAUUAAUUCUUGUACUUCCGGCGCAACCUACUGUGAUAAAUAUUCCGGAAUCUUUGGCAUAGCAUUUUAUUGAUUUUACUACGACGCAGUUUACGAAUAUUCCGAACCGAGAAUAUUACGAACAGAGAAACCUCAACGGAGUAAAGUGAAUAAUACCAUAGAGAAAACAGUAAACGAAGUAAAUAUAUGCAGAGAAGUCGCGGACGGCUUGCGUAUAUAUUUCGAUUUCGCAUAUUACCUCAUCUCCUGUUAUAUAGGACACUCGACGAGCUCCGGGCUUUCCCUAUCGAUGACGACGGUGAAUGUCUGCCAAGGAUAUGCGCCAGAAAAUGAACAAGAUCUUUUCAACAGAAAACUGAAUCGCCCAGCAUGCCGAGUAUUUUCCGCAAGAAGUAAACUCCCCUUUGUGUCUUAUAGCAAGAAAUUCUGUGUGAGAAAAUUGAGUAUCACGUCGGCAAGAGAUUCGCGAGUGCAAGCACAAAAAAUUGUUGUUAGACAUAAAUGUAUAAUGUUGUUUCAACGAAUGUUAACUUAUUUUUUAUCGCGCUAGCUUUGUGAGUGACGUGUAAAUUAUUUUGUUUAAAUAUUAACACGGUCUGAGGAGUUUAGAGAUGAGAAAAUACGAAUGUUUUUUCACGUUUUGUAAAAUUUGGAUGUCCAUUGUGUCUGCACUCUCGCAGCGUUUGGAAUUUUCUUACUUUCUCAUGAUCCUCUUUAGGUAAAAGAAAAGAAAAAGAGUAAAUUCAAAACGCCACGAUUAACAGUAAUUAAUGUUUAAUUUCGAUGUCUGUCACUUUACAUAGUAAUAAACAAACGUCAUAGAUCAU